ACCUUCCUUGUCAUGGGGUGGAACGGGAGGCUCAAUGAACGCGUCGUGAGAGCCGCCCUGCUAACACCAUAGCAACACUUACGCGUCACCUGAGCGUCACGCUUGGGCUAUGACGCAAUUUUUGGAAAA